rnacentral:rRNA from 1 species
GUGCCAGCAGCCGCGGUAAGACGAGGGAUCCUAGCGUUGUUCGGAAUUAUUGGGCGUAAAGCGGGUGUAGGUGGCUAUGUAAGUCAAGUGUGAAAGCCUGGGGCUCAACCCCAGAAGUGCAUUUGAUACUGCGUAGCUUGAGUGCUGGAGAGGAUAGUAGAAUUGUUGGUGUAGUGGUGAAAUACGUAGAUAUCAACAGGAAUACCGGUGGCGAAGGCGGCUAUCUGGCCAAGCACUGACACUCAGACCCGAAAGCGUGGGGAUCAAACAGGAUUAGAUACCCUGGUAGUCC